GUUACAGGCUCUUGGUGAUAGGAAGGGUAUUAAUCGGUUUGGUGACUUCUCUGCUCCACUUGAUGAAGCAUUAAUACACACUUCACUGGAUUUAUCUGGCCGGCCACAUUUAAGUUAUAAUUUGGAUAUCCCUACCCAGAGGGUCGGGACAUAUGAUGCUCAGGUAGUGCACUUUUAUUUGAUUAUUUCAUCACUGAGCUUAGAAUUUUAUUGAAUAAGCUUUAGACUGUUGAGCCCCUAAUUUUUCCAGCAUAGAUUUAUUUUAAUGUGACACUCUUAUUGUAUUUGCUGUUGGCUAUACUAUUCCCUUUAUUUGUAUCUUCAUUGAUGAGUACUCUUGGUAUCCUGUAUGUAGUUAAAAUUAAACACUGACUUUGCAUCUAUAGGGUGUCCAGAAACAGCUUCCUGUGGGGGCAUCAUGAGUGACUCUGUUGGUGAGAAAUUUGAAGAAAAAAUCAUUGUGGUCCAGGAUUUUGGAGGAGGUAAUGGAAAAGCUUGUAGACAUUGUGUAUUUUUUACAUUUGGAGAUACAUGAAGCAUUUGGCAAUGCUGGUGCUUCUCAAGAACUACAAAUAAUUGAUUAUGAGCAUUUGGUAGUAUGGAAUAUCUCCUUAGGAUUCCAGUUUUUGCACUCAAUCUCUGCUACCUAUCCACUAGGGAAGACCAUUAUUAAAAUGUGCAUUUUGCUUCUGGCAUUUUGUUUUGGAGAUGUCAUUCUUGUGAUUUGUUACUACUUUAUUCUUGUGAUAUU